GACAGAUCUUGAAACAAACAGUAGUCAGAAAAAAAUAUAACACAACAAUUUAAGACUUUAGUGAUUUGACUAACAGACAUCAAGUUAAAAGAAAAUUUAGGAAGAUAUAAUACAGAAGACAAGGGUAGCGAAGAGGUAAUGGAUGUAUCUCCACUAGCUAAGACUUUGGUAGUGGAUCCAUCUGCUAGUGUUACAUUAAAGCACUCAUCAGAUGGUUUAUAAUGGGAUAAGAUACCUUGAUCACCUGUCAUGUG
rnacentral:lncRNA from 1 species